rnacentral:rRNA from 1 species
AUGGAUGACAUUGUGGUCAAGUCACGUAAAGGUUCCGACCUAAUGGCUGACCUUGCUGAAACCUUUGCCAACCUCAGAAGGUAUGAUAUCAAGCUCAAUCCAUCAAAGUGCAUGUUUGGAGUUCCAGGCAGAAAAUUACUCGGUUUUCUCGUUUCCGAACGAGGGAUCGACGCUAACCCAGAGAAAGUGGGUGCCAUACUCCGGAUGAAACGCCCUGUGCGUGUGCAUGAUGUCCAGAAGCUUACUGGUUGUUUGGCUGCCCUAAGUCGAUUCAUUUCUCGCCUCGGUGAAAAGGCACUGCCUCUUUACCGACUGAGGAAGAAGUCAGAUAAGUUCGAGUGGACUCCUGAAGCUGAUGCAGCAUUUGCAGAGCUCAAAGCCCUGCUUUCCACCCAGCCGGUGCUUGCUACUCCAAUCAGCAAAGAGCCUUUACUGCUUUACAUUGCAGCCACUGGAUAG